rnacentral:rRNA from 1 species
CCUACGGGAGGCAGCAGUCGAGAAUCAUUCACAAUGGGGGAAACCCUGAUGGUGCGACGCCGCGUGGGGGAAUGAAGGUCUUCGGAUUGUAAACCCCUGUCAUGUGGGAGCAAAUUAAAAAGAUAGUACCACAAGAGGAAGAGACGGCUAACUCUGUGCCAGCCGCCGCGGUAAUACAGAGGGCUCAAGCGUUGUUCGGAAUCACUGGGCGUAAAGCGUGCGUAGGCUGUUUCGUAAGUCGUGUGUGAAAGGCGCGGGCGUAACCCGCGGACGGCACAUGAUACUGGGAGACUAGAGUAAUGGAGGGGGAACCGGAAUGCUCGGUGUAGCAGUGAAAUGCGUAGAUAUCGAGAGGAACACUCGUGGCGAAGGCGGGUUCCUGGACAUUAACUGACGCUGAGGCACGAAGGCCAGGGGAGCGAAAGGGAUUAGAUACCCCUGUAGUC